AAAGCAUCCGAUGUAAUAAAACAAACUGGGGUGAAGCGAAGACCGAUUCCAUCAUUCCACGAACGGCGAGCAGCGCAGCCUGAAACGAGACAUAAAUAUCCAGAUGUAUCUGCCAAACGGUGCUGCACCAGUAAAGCUAGAGAGAGCAGAUGUUUCCCUGCAGUCCAUCAAACAUGCCGGCUGUUUGUUAGUCCUCCAGGACUUACUCAGAGUGGAACAAACACCUCCACUGGGGAGGGUGAUGAAGGAUAUCAGGGCUUUCCUCACAUUGCCAUUUCACGUGGGAGUGCAUCAGAGUUCUUUCGAUGACUGCAUUAACUUUGGCCUUCAAAAGGGCUCUCACAAAAAAGGACAAAAUGGCUGUGCCUGCAGACCAUUUAAUCAUCAACAGUAGCCCAUAUUGCCUUUUGAAGUGCACUCGGCAAGUGGUAUUUGAAAAACUGGAAUGUAACAUCUUUAAUUUCUACUCUGAUUCUUUUACAAUCAUUUUUUUUCAUGAAUCUUACACAAUCUUUGUUAUGUAAUCUUCCAUGUUCUUUUCUUUACAUUUUAAUUUGAGGUAUUAGAGGAAAUAUCUUCCAAUCCAUUACAUAUGGCUGUCUAUAUAAAAGUGCAUAUAGCUGCACAUAUGAAACAUUAUCUUAAAAGAAAUAAAAAAUAAUAAAUAAACUUUCAUCAACAUUCUCCUAAAGAAAAAAUAUAUAUAUUUAGCUCACAGUUUAGGUCACAUUGAUGCUCUUAUCAUAACAUCUCUCAAUGGGAAAUGAGAAAAAGAUUGUGCUUCAGGCUUUGCAAUCAAUCAAUAUGACUUGUCUCUGAAGUGGAUCGAUAAUGCUUCCCUUUAAAAUCAUCAAUCAUCAGUGGCGAAUUUAAAAAGCGUAAUUAGAAGCACCGUUCUUAAACAUCCUGUAUUGACAUCUUCUUGGGUAAAGGAGAAAGACACCAUUUUGCAUCAUUAACUUUAUAUUAUUGCCUGGUGGAGCCGGCUGCUGGUACAGUACCUUCCCCCUCGCCCCCUUGCUGAAGUCACAGAUGCUGUGUGUGAUUGGGCUUUCAGACAGAGCUCUCUCUCCUCAGUGGGAGGUGGGCGAAAUGAUGCUUGCCGGCUUGAUUUGGCUACAGUCACUGUAAUGGUCUAGUCUGGAUUGCAACUUCAGCUUUGAAUAUAUUAGUCAUUGAAUAAACCCCGUG